rnacentral:rRNA from 1 species
AGUGAACGCUGGCGGAAUGCUUUACACAUGCAAGUCGAACGGCAGCACGGACUUCGGUCUGGUGGCGAGUGGCGAACGGGUGAGUAAUGUAUCGGAACGUGCCCAGUCGUGGGGGAUAACGUAGUGAAAAUUACGCUAAUACCGCAUACGAUCUAUGGAUGAAAGCGGGGGAUCGCAAGACCUCGCGCGAUUGGAGCGGCCGAUAUCAGAUUAGGUAGUUGGUGGGGUAAAGGCCCACCAAGCCAACGAUCUGUAGCUGGUCUGAGAGGACGACCAGCCACACUGGAACUGAGAGACGGUCCAGACUCCUACGGGAGGCAGCAGUGGGGAAUUUUGGACAAUGGGCGAAAGCCUGAUCCAGCCAUUCCGCGUGCAGGAUGAAGGCCCUCGGGUUGUAAACUGCUUUUGUACAGAACGAAAAGGUUUCUACUAAUACUAGGAGCUCAUGACGGUACUGUAAGAAUAAGCACCGGCUAACUACGUGCCAGCCGCCGCGGUAA